rnacentral:rRNA from 1 species
UACAGAGGUCUCAAGCGUUGUUCGGAUUCAUUGGGCGUAAAGGGUGUGUAGGUGGCGCCGUAAGUCGGGUGUGAAAUUUCGGAGCCUAACUCCGAAACUGCAUUCGAUACUGCGGUGCUUGAGGACUGGAGAGGAGACUGGAAUUCAUGGUGUAGCAGUGAAAUGCGUAGAGAUCAUGAGGAAGACCAGUGGCGAAGGCGGGUCUCUGGACAGUUCCUGACACUGAGACACGAAGGCCAGGGGAGCAAACGGG